ACUUGCUUGCUUUCUAACACAAUAAACUCCAUACCUCUUAGAACAACUUCCUAAGAGCACAGCACAUACCAGCUGCAAGAAUACAUGGCAACUUGGAAAUCAUCCUCCACUCUUCAAAAAGCAGGAAUAUAAGGGAAGCAAGUCUCUAUUGAUUUCCUCAGCAGAUGUCAGUCACACAGCCCAUCAAUAAUGCUGGGAAGACAUCGUGCCCGAACAGAAAAAGAAACAUGAAAGGGAAAACACCUCCAAAGUCAAACUCAGGUCAAGCAGAGACAGAUAGGCACGUGAGAAAAAAGAGACACCAUGCCUGUCUGCUGAAUUUCUUUGCGGUUGCUGGAUCAAAGUAAGCAGAAUAUGUAAAUCCACAUACCUAUCCUGACUGUUGGCCUCUGCCUCUUUUACAUAAAGAGCAUCAAGUUAUUUUCAGUGGGAGGCUUUCAGAAGAGGAAGCUAGAAUAGGGACUAUAUUAGGGGUGAUUAUAAUAUGUAAAUAUAAAUUCCCUUAAGGCCUCCACAUUGGAAAACUGCACCUUGUAGCUCAUUCCUUAUUGUUGUGCUGCUAUCUGCAAAUACUAAUUCUGGAGUUGGUCAGUUAUUUGUUUCUGAAGCAGCCCUUACAUUUGCAGAAAUAUUCCUAGAUAUUCAUGGGUAAUUUAUGUAAACAAUUUCAACAUAAAGGGUGUGUAUAUUCAUUUCACUUCUUUGUACUUUGUAAUUCAUGGCAUGUAAUUGGCCACCUAAAGUAACAUGGCAUCGUGUUUGUGUAAUGCCAGACCCUGUUCCUUGGCGGGUAGGAUGGAACCUGGGGCCUCUGGAGCUUAGUGCAUGAGC